GUUAAGCGACUAAGCGUACACGGUGGAUGCCCUGGCAGUCAGAGGCGAUGAAGGACGUGCUAAUCUGCGAUAAGCGUCGGUAAGGUGAUAUGAACCGUUAUAACCGGCGAUUUCCGAAUGGGGAAACCCAGUGUGUUUCGACACACUAUCAUUAACUGAAUCCAUAGGUUAAUGAGGCGAACCGGGGGAACUGAAACAUCUAAGUACCCCGAGGAAAAGAAAUCAACCGAGAUUCCCCCAGUAGCGGCGAGCGAACGGGGAGCAGCCCAGAGCCUGAAUCAGUGUGUGUGUUAGUGGAAGCGUCUGGAAAGGCGCGCGAUACAGGGUGACAGCCCCGUACACAAAAAUGCACAUGCUGUGAGCUCGAUGAGUAGGGCGGGACACGUGGUAUCCUGUCUGAAUAUGGGGGGACCAUCCUCCAAGGCUAAAUACUCCUGACUGACCGAUAGUGAACCAGUACCGUGAGGGAAAGGCGAAAAGAACCCCGGCGAGGGGAGUGAAAAAGAACCUGAAACCGUGUACGUACAAGCAGUGGGAGCACGCUUAGGCGUGUGACUGCGUACCUUUUGUAUAAUGGGUCAGCGACUUAUAUUCUGUAGCAAGGUUAACCGAAUAGGGGAGCCGAAGGGAAACCGAGUCUUAACUGGGCGUUAAGUUGCAGGGUAUAGACCCGAAACCCGGUGAUCUAGCCAUGGGCAGGUUGAAGGUUGGGUAACACUAACUGGAGGACCGAACCGACUAAUGUUGAAAAAUUAGCGGAUGACUUGUGGCUGGGGGUGAAAGGCCAAUCAAACCGGGAGAUAGCUGGUUCUCCCCGAAAGCUAUUUAGGUAGCGCCUCGUGAAUUCAUCUCCGGGGGUAGAGCACUGUUUCGGCAAGGGGGUCAUCCCGACUUACCAACCCGAUGCAAACUGCGAAUACCGGAGAAUGUUAUCACGGGAGACACACGGCGGGUGCUAACGUCCGUCGUGAAGAGGGAAACAACCCAGACCGCCAGCUAAGGUCCCAAAGUCAUGGUUAAGUGGGAAACGAUGUGGGAAGGCCCAGACAGCCAGGAUGUUGGCUUAGAAGCAGCCAUCAUUUAAAGAAAGCGUAAUAGCUCACUGGUCGAGUCGGCCUGCGCGGAAGAUGUAACGGGGCUAAACCAUGCACCGAAGCUGCGGCAGCGACACUAUGUGUUGUUGGGUAGGGGAGCGUUCUGUAAGCCUGUGAAGGUGUACUGUGAGGUAUGCUGGAGGUAUCAGAAGUGCGAAUGCUGACAUAAGUAACGAUAAAGCGGGUGAAAAGCCCGCUCGCCGGAAGACCAAGGGUUCCUGUCCAACGUUAAUCGGGGCAGGGUGAGUCGACCCCUAAGGCGAGGCCGAAAGGCGUAGUCGAUGGGAAACAGGUUAAUAUUCCUGUACUUGGUGUUACUGCGAAGGGGGGACGGAGAAGGCUAUGUUGGCCGGGCGACGGUUGUCCCGGUUUAAGCGUGUAGGCUGGUUUUCCAGGCAAAUCCGGAAAAUCAAGGCUGAGGCGUGAUGACGAGGCACUACGGUGCUGAAGCAACAAAUGCCCUGCUUCCAGGAAAAGCCUCUAAGCAUCAGGUAACAUCAAAUCGUACCCCAAACCGACACAGGUGGUCAGGUAGAGAAUACCAAGGCGCUUGAGAGAACUCGGGUGAAGGAACUAGGCAAAAUGGUGCCGUAACUUCGGGAGAAGGCACGCUGAUAUGUAGGUGAAGUCCCUCGCGGAUGGAGCUGAAAUCAGUCGAAGAUACCAGCUGGCUGCAACUGUUUAUUAAAAACACAGCACUGUGCAAACACGAAAGUGGACGUAUACGGUGUGACGCCUGCCCGGUGC
rnacentral:rRNA from 1 species